UACGAAGGGGGCUAGCGUUGCUCGGAAUCACUGGGCGUAAAGAGCUCGUAGGCGGUUUGUCGCGUCGACUGUGAAAACCUACAGCUUAACUGUGGGCUUGCAGUCGAUACGGGCAGACUUGAGUUCGGUAGGGGAGACUGGAAUUCCUGGUGUAGCGGUGAAAUGCGCAGAUAUCAGGAGGAACACCGGUGGCGAAGGCGGGUCUCUGGGCCGAUACUGACGCUGAGGAGCGAAAGCGUGGGGAGCGAACAGG
rnacentral:rRNA from 1 species